AGGCCUAACACAUGCAAGUCGAGCGGAUGAAGGGAGCUUGCUCCUGGAUUCAGCGGCGGACGGGUGAGGUAAUGCCUAGGAAUCUGCCUGGUAGUGGGGGAUAACGUCCGGAAACGGGCGCUAAUACCGCAUACGUCCUGAGGGAGAAAGUGGGGGAUCUUCGGACCUCACGCUAUCAGAUGAGCCUAGGUCGGAUUAGCUAGUUGGUGGGGUAAAGGCCUACCAAGGCGACGAUCCGUAACUGGUCUGAGAGGAUGAUCAGUCACACUGGAACUGAGACACGGUCCAGACUCCUACGGGAGGCAGCAGUGGGGAAUAUUGGACAAUGGGCGAAAGCCUGAUCCAGCCAUGCCGCGUGUGUGAAGAAGGUCUUCGGAUUGUAAAGCACUUUAAGUUGGGAGGAAGGGCAGUAAGU
rnacentral:rRNA from 1 species